rnacentral:rRNA from 1 species
AUUGAACGCUGGCGGCAUGCCUUACACAUGCAAGUCGAACGGCAGCACGGGUGCUUGCACCUGGUGGCGAGUGGCGAACGGGUGAGUAAUACAUCGGAACAUGUCCUGUAGUGGGGGAUAGCCCGGCGAAAGCCGGAUUAAUACCGCAUACGAUCUACGUAUGAAAGCGGGGGACCUUCUGGCCUCGCGCUAUAGGGUUGGCCGAUGGCUGAUUAGCUAGUUGGUGGGGUAAAGGCCUACCAAGGCGACGAUCAGUAGCUGGUCUGAGAGGACGACCAGCCACACUGGGACUGAGACACGGCCCAGACUCCUACGGGAGGCAGCAGUGGGGAAUUUUGGACAAUGGGCGAAAGCCUGAUCCAGCAAUGCCGCGUGUGUGAAGAAGGCCUUCGGGUUGUAAAGCACUGUUGUCCGGAAAGAAAUCCUUGGCCCUAAUACGGUCGGGGGAUGACGGUACCGGAAGAAUAAGCACCGGCUAACUACGUG